rnacentral:rRNA from 1 species
GAGUUUGAUCGUGGCUCAGAACGAACGCUGGCGGCAUGCCUAACACAUGCAAGUCGAACGAAGGCUUCGGCCUUAGUGGCGCACGGGUGCGUAACGCGUGGGAAUCUGCCCUUUGCUUCGGAAUAACACAGAGAAAUUUGUGCUAAUACCGGAUGAUGUCGCAAGACCAAAGAUUUAUCGGCAAAGGAUGAGCCCGCGUAGGAUUAGCUAGUUGGUGGGGUAAAGGCCUACCAAGGCGACGAUCCUUAGCUGGUCUGAGAGGAUGAUCAGCCACACUGGGACUGAGACACGGCCCAGACUCCUACGGAGGCAGCAGUGGGGAAUAUUGGACAAUGGGCGAAAGCCUGAUCCAGCAAUGCCGCGUGAGUGAUGAAGGCCUUAGGGUUGUAAAGCUCUUUUA